AGCGGCCCCGCUCCCGCCUCGGGCCGAGUCACGUGUCAGCCAAAGAUGGCUGCGCCCUGGCGAGUUUAGCAAAGGUUGCGGUGAGCCUUAGCUGUGAAGGAAGACCGGAGGAAGCACCGGCUGCGGGAGGGGAGCAUAACGUACUGGCAUUCUAGGAAAGUGCAUUUACAGGGUCUGCUGAGCCUAACUUAAUUUUCAGACGCUGCACUUUUUUCAUUGCCUCUCGGAGCUAUCCUGAGUGACGUAGGUACUGCAAAAGCUAUUCGAAAUAUUUAUAGUAUUUAAAGGUGCCAUUGUCUUUGAUAGGGAUUUAUUAUUAAUAACAGGGACAAAAUGACCUAUUAUGAGCUGCUAGGUUAGAUUUUUUACCGAAUUAAGGAUGACUUUUAAUAGCCACACCGUAGAAAUGGCUAGUUCACACAACUCGGAACCUUACCAAUAGAGCAUAGAACAGAAAACUAGUGAUAGCAUUAGGAGGUACUUUCAGAGGACAUAAUGUCUUUUAUUUCAGACAUGUACACCAUACAAUUUCUCCAUAGAUACCAAAUGUGAUUACUUAUGUACCUCUCCACCCCCACACCCAACACAAAUAAAAUCAUUCAAAGCUCCUGUAGGGCAGAGGUUGUGUCGUGUUCUUGUAACCAAGGCCCUCC